rnacentral:rRNA from 1 species
CCGAGUGCCAGCAUCAUAUGUUGGCUGUCCAGAUGUGUAAAAUACAUCUGUUAGCAAGGGCCGGGCAAGACCGGUGCCAGCCGCCGCGGUAACACCGGCGGCCCGAGUGGUGAUCGUGAUUAUUGGGUCUAAAGGGUCCGUAGCCGGUUUGGUCAGUCCUCCGGGAAAUCUGACGGCUCAACCGUUAGGCUUUCGGUGGAUACUGCCAGACUUGGAACCGGGAGAGGUAAGAGGUACUACAGGGGUAGGAGUGAAAUCUUGUAAUCCCUGUGAGACCACCUGUGGCGAAGGCGUCUUACCAGAACGGGUUCGACGGUGAGGGACGAAAGCUGGGGGCACGAACCGGAUUAGAUACCCGGGUAGUCCAA